rnacentral:rRNA from 1 species
AUUGAACGCUGGCGGCAUGCCUUACACAUGCAAGUCGAACGGCAGCACGGGAGCAAUCCUGGUGGCGAGUGGCGAACGGGUGAGUAAUAUAUCGGAACGUGCCCAGUCGUGGGGGAUAACGUAGCGAAAGCUACGCUAAUACCGCAUACGAUCUAUGGAUGAAAGCGGGGGAUCGCAAGACCUCGCGCGAUUGGAGCGGCCGAUAUCAGAUUAGGUAGUUGGUGAGGUAAAGGCUCACCAAGCCGACGAUCUGUAGCUGGUCUGAGAGGACGACCAGCCACACUGGGACUGAGACACGGCCCAGACUCCUACGGGAGGCAGCAGUGGGGAACUUUGGACAAUGGGCGCAAGCCUGAUCCAGCAAUGCCGCGUGCAGGAUGAAGGCCUUCGGGUUGUAAACUGCUUUUGUACGGAACGAAACGGUGAGCUCUAAUACAGUUUGCUAAUGACGGUACCGUAAGAAUAAGCACCGGCUAACUACGUG